rnacentral:rRNA from 1 species
GACGGAGGGUGCAAGCGUUGUUCGGAUUGACUGGGCGUAAAGGGCGUGUAGGCGGUUGGUCAAGUCUGAUGUGAAAGCCCGGGGCUCAGCCCCGGAAGGCAUCGGAAACUAGCCAGCUGGAGCGCGAUAGAGGAGGGUGGAAGUUCCUGGUGUAGCGGUGGAAAUGACGUAGAUAUCAGGAGGAACACCGGCGGCGAAGGCGGCCCUCUGGAUCGUUGCUGACGCUGAGACGCGAAAGCGUGGGGAGCAAACAGG